UCCCAUUUUAUGCCUUGGCAUCUUCACCAAGCUAAGGAUCUAAUCACAAAGAUCCAAUUAAAUCCAAUCACAAACAUCAUGAUCAAAUUGUGGUCCAUCCCAAAAAGGAGGCGUAUGCUGCAGUCUCCCUAGUCCUUAUAGGCCAUAGGGCUCUAAUACCAUUUGCACCAGCCCAGGUUCCACACAAAGGGCUGGCUAAAAGGUCAUUAAUCGAGUUCCUUGACCCUAUAUAAGUAUGCAAAAUCUUCCUAGUGCACGAUCAAUGUAGGAUCAAACCUAUGCCCACAUGGGUCC
rnacentral:lncRNA from 1 species